AAGUUGAUGUAUCCUCAAUGGAAGUGUUAUCAUGCGAUUGGCAUUGCAAGAAACACAACCGUGGCCCUGCGAAAAUCAAACCAAACCACAUAACAGUCAAUACCAAAAAACCAAAAAUCAAAAGGAGAUUCAACUCAAGCCAUUGGAAGUAAGGGAAGAAGGGGCGUCAAGCAUAGGGUUGAUAACUUCUGAAAUGAUCAGGUAUGUGGAGGGAAAGGACCCUGAGUUACAAGCAUCUCGAUAAGUUGGACUACUCGAUUUCAUUUCCUCUGCCUUGCUUGCUUCUUACACAUCCAAACCGACAGCAUAUCUGGUUACGUUGCACCUGUUAGAACUUCUGAAGGUCGUACUGUCUAUACCUGCAGAUAGGAUUUAUUUUGUUGCACUGAAUCUUCCGCCUCCAAUCAUCCUGUUGCUUUCAUCGGCUCUUGAGAACUACAUAGAAGGUUGUAGCGACUCUAAGUACUCCUGGCGACCUUAGAAGUAAGACAACUUCAGAUGCGUGAUGGUUCGUACGAGUCAUUGAUUUCCUAUCAAGUGAUUCACUGGUUGAGAGAUCUUUUUGCAUUUCGUGAUAGGCCUCAGGUGAAAGGCCGAUGGAAAGCUUCUGAUGAUCAGAUUUGUUUUGCUCAUGCUUGAAUCAUUAUCCCUUCUUGGUCACUUUGCCCUGCUUCGUCCUGGAAAUCAAGUUGUUCUUCGAUGGGGAAAGAGUUCCACACUCACCACCCUCCACAAGAU
rnacentral:lncRNA from 1 species